GGGUUGUGAGGUUAAGCGACUAAGCGUACACGGUGGAUGCCCUGGCAGUCAGAGGCGAUGAAGGACGUGCUAAUCUGCGAUAAGCGUCGGUGAGGUGAUAUGAACCGUUAUAACCGGCGAUUUCCGAAUGGGGAAACCCAGUGUGUUUCGACACACUAUCAUUAACUGAAUCCAUAGGUUAAUGAGGCGAACCGGGGGAACUGAAACAUCUAAGUACCCCGAGGAAAAGAAAUCAACCGAGAUUCCCCCAGUAGCGGCGAGCGAACGGGGAGGAGCCCAGAGCCUGAAUCAGUGUGUGUGUUAGUGGAAGUGUCUGGAAAGGCGCGCGAUACAGGGUGACAGCCCCGUACACAAAAAUGCACAUGCUGUGAGCUCGAUGAGUAGGGCGGGACACGUGGUAUCCUGUCUGAAUAUGGGGGGACCAUCCUCCAAGGCUAAAUACUCCUGACUGACCGAUAGUGAACCAGUACCGUGAGGGAAAGGCGAAAAGAACCCCGGCGAGGGGAGUGAAAAAGAACCUGAAACCGUGUACGUACAAGCAGUGGGAGCCUCUUAAUGGGGUGACUGCGUACCUUUUGUAUAAUGGGUCAGCGACUUAUAUUCUGUAGCAAGGUUAACCGAAUAGGGGAGCCGAAGGGAAACCGAGUCUUAACUGGGCGUUAAGUUGCAGGGUAUAGACCCGAAACCCGGUGAUCUAGCCAUGGGCAGGUUGAAGGUUGGGUAACACUAACUGGAGGACCGAACCGACUAAUGUUGAAAAAUUAGCGGAUGACUUGUGGCUGGGGGUGAAAGGCCAAUCAAACCGGGAGAUAGCUGGUUCUCCCCGAAAGCUAUUUAGGUAGCGCCUCGUGAAUUCAUCUCCGGGGGUAGAGCACUGUUUCGGCAAGGGGGUCAUCCCGACUUACCAACCCGAUGCAAACUGCGAAUACCGGAGAAUGUUAUCACGGGAGACACACGGCGGGUGCUAACGUCCGUCGUGAAGAGGGAAACAACCCAGACCGCCAGCUAAGGUCCCAAAGUCAUGGUUAAGUGGGAAACGAUGUGGGAAGGCCCAGACAGCCAGGAUGUUGGCUUAGAAGCAGCCAUCAUUUAAAGAAAGCGUAAUAGCUCACUGGUCGAGUCGGCCUGCGCGGAAGAUGUAACGGGGCUAAACCAUGCACCGAAGCUGCGGCAGCGACGCUUAUGCGUUGUUGGGUAGGGGAGCGUUCUGUAAGCCUGUGAAGGUGUGCUGUGAGGCAUGCUGGAGGUAUCAGAAGUGCGAAUGCUGACAUAAGUAACGAUAAAGCGGGUGAAAAGCCCGCUCGCCGGAAGACCAAGGGUUCCUGUCCAACGUUAAUCGGGGCAGGGUGAGUCGACCCCUAAGGCGAGGCCGAAAGGCGUAGUCGAUGGGAAACAGGUUAAUAUUCCUGUACUUGGUGUUACUGCGAAGGGGGGACGGAGAAGGCUAUGUUGGCCGGGCGACGGUUGUCCCGGUUUAAGCGUGUAGGCUGGUUUUCCAGGCAAAUCCGGAAAACCAAGGCUGAGGCGUGAUGACGAGGCACUACGGUGCUGAAGCGACAAAUGCCCUGCUUCCAGGAAAAGCCUCUAAGCAUCAGGUAACAUCAAAUCGUACCCCAAACCGACACAGGUGGUCAGGUAGAGAAUACCAAGGCGCUUGAGAGAACUCGGGUGAAGGAACUAGGCAAAAUGGUGCCGUAACUUCGGGAGAAGGCACGCUGAUAUGUAGGUGAAGCGACUUGCUCGUGGAGCUGAAAUCAGUCGAAGAUACCAGCUGGCUGCAACUGUUUAUUAAAAACACAGCACUGUGCAAACACGAAAGUGGACGUAUACGGUGUGACGCCUGCCCGGUGCCGGAAGGUUAAUUGAUGGGGUUAGCGGCAACGCGAAGCUCUUGAUCGAAGCCCCGGUAAACGGCGGCCGUAACUAUAACGGUCCUAAGGUAGCGAAAUUCCUUGUCGGGUAAGUUCCGACCUGCACGAAUGGCGUAAUGAUGGCCAGGCUGUCUCCACCCGAGACUCAGUGAAAUUGAACUCGCUGUGAAGAUGCAGUGUACCCGCGGCAAGACGGAAAGACCCCGUGAACCUUUACUAUAGCUUGACACUGAACAUUGAGCCUUGAUGUGUAGGAUAGGUGGGAGGCUUUGAAGUGUGGACGCCAGUCUGCAUGGAGCCGACCUUGAAAUACCACCCUUUAAUGUUUGAUGUUCUAACGUUGGCCCCUAAUCGGGGUUGCGGACAGUGUCUGGUGGGUAGUUUGACUGGGGCGGUCUCCUCCUAAAGAGUAACGGAGGAGCACGAAGGUUGGCUAAUCCUGGUCGGACAUCAGGAGGUUAGUGCAAUGGCAUAAGCCAGCUUGACUGCGAGCGUGACGGCGCGAGCAGGUGCGAAAGCAGGUCAUAGUGAUCCGGUGGUUCUGAAUGGAAGGGCCAUCGCUCAACGGAUAAAAGGUACUCCGGGGAUAACAGGCUGAUACCGCCCAAGAGUUCAUAUCGACGGCGGUGUUUGGCACCUCGAUGUCGGCUCAUCACAUCCUGGGGCUGAAGUAGGUCCCAAGGGUAUGGCUGUUCGCCAUUUAAAGUGGUACGCGAGCUGGGUUUAGAACGUCGUGAGACAGUUCGGUCCCUAUCUGCCGUGGGCGCUGGAGAACUGAGGGGGGCUGCUCCUAGUACGAGAGGACCGGAGUGGACGCAUCACUGGUGUUCGGGUUGUCAUGCCAAUGGCACUGCCCGGUAGCUAAAUGCGGAAGAGAUAAGUGCUGAAAGCAUCUAAGCACGAAACUUGCCCCGAGAUGAGUUCUCCCUGAG
rnacentral:rRNA from 1 species